rnacentral:rRNA from 1 species
AAUGAACGCUGGCGGCAGGCCUAACACAUGCAAGUCGAGCGAGCGGCGGACGGGUGAGUAAUGUAUGGGGAUCCGCCCGAUAGAGCGGGAUAACUUCUGGAAACCGUAGCCAAUACCGCAUACUGCCGGAUGAACCCAUUUGGGACUAGCUGGUGGGUAAGGUAACGGCGUACCUAGGCUACGAUCCCUAGCUGGUCUGAGAGGGUGAUCAGCCACACUGGAACUGAGACACGGCCCAGACUCCUACGGGAGGCAGCAGUAGGGAAUAUUCCGCAAUGGGCGCAAGCCUGAUAGAGCCAUGCCGCGUGUGUGAAGAAGGUCUUCGGAUUGUAAAAUACUUUCAGUAGGGAAGCGGUACCGAAAGAAAAAGCACCGGCUAACUCCGUGCCAGCAGCCGCGGUAAUAC